GGGGGGAACUAGAGGAGGAGGGGGAAGGGUGGCGGCUAAUAGAGAUGUUUUGCUGGCAAGCCAAUUAGACGGCAUGAGAUAAUGAAGGCAUCUACGCUGCUACAAGGUUACCUGGAAUAUCAUCUGCAUACCAAACUGUGCCUGGAUUGUCCGUUAUGAAAACAUCUUGCCUGAACCUCCUUGGUUGCCCGAAGUUUCAAUAAAUAAAGGCAAACAGUAGAACUGGAAUCAAUGAUGCCCGAAAUUCCUGGGCAUAGUUAUCAGUGACAUCAACCUUCCAAGGAUUGUUAAAUACAGGGGGAAACAGGAAGCAGAUCAAGAGUAUGUGAGCUGACUCCACAUUUUUAGAACUGCUGGAUUUGUUACUUAUUCAUUCACGGAGCCCUUUUGGUCAAAAGUGUUUUUAAGUGACUAAUGACUAUGCAAUUAAAGGAGAGUACACCCAACAACCCCCCCCAAAUAAAUUGUCUAUCUAAAAUAGUCAUGCAUGACAUCUUGAAACCAGUGAUUGCUGCUGCAAAUACCCCUGCAUGAAAAUCAGAUUUGUGCAUAAAUUUGAGAAGAGAUGCGCUGUUGACAAAAAUUGUAAUAUCAAUAAGGGAAGAGGAACCUAUUUUGGUCAAAACUGAACUGGAUCUGGUUUUGCACCAGGAGCCAGCAUAUAUUGGUAACCACUAUU